UGUGUCGUGUAGUGAGAGUGUGUGUUGGUUUCUGUGCUUUCCUUAACACUUAUUUGUGGUCAAGGUGGAAUGGACCUGCCCCAGUCCUGACCGAAGUCUGAUCCCGUUGGCCCAGGAGAGCUCCCAGCCAGACUCCGAAUACUAGAAGAGGGCACAGCGAUGACCGUCCCUCCAUACAUAUACCGCCCUGUUGUUGCGCAUGGAAAGACUCUCAGUGCAGAUUGUGGUGCUCGUGUGUCCUCGCAGUCAGCCAGACAGUGAUGUGGCGUGGGAGGGCUCCUGCUGACAGUCUGCUAUUGGCGCCUCUGUCCUCCAGCGACUCGGAAAAAGGAAGGUCGCCACAUUCUUCUCUCUCGCGCCCCACCGACCGAUGAAAUCGAGCCCAGGUCACUCGCUCCCUCUCAAGGCGAAGAGUGGCAGCGACAUGGGGUGGUGAGGUGGUAAGGUGGCAGAACAGCGACACUUGUACACCUAAGGGACCGCAUUCUCAGAGGCUUCAGCGUGUUGAUUAAAGGUUGCUGUGAGUGUAUAGGGCAGGCGGACGCACACCUGAGCGCCGGUUGUGAUGUGAGGGACGUGGCACAGAAAGGUUAACUCAAACUUGAUUGCAUAUAUGUGUUUUUAAGUGGAGGCUUUAAAGAGAUUUUGUCCCAGAGCAGGGAAACGUAACUUGUUUGUCUGUUUAAGAGGCAAUUUGCGUGUGGCGGUGUUUUCAUGUAAAAGUUAGCUGAGCGUUUGUAAGGUAUAGCCACUUCCCAAAAAGAGGCAUCCCUUUUUCAAAACUUUUCACCCUCCUCGUGUGUGCAGUUCACCAUCGACUACUCCCUGGCUCUGCGUGUACAUAUACUCUCGUUUUCAAGGAUGAAGUUGACAUCAAGAGCCCAAUGGUGCCUCCCUAAAGAGUGAACUUGAAGCCACACUAACCCAGAAACAACGAGGAGACCUGAUACUGCCUGCGUGUUGUCUCAGUGAUUGUGUCUCGCCCAUGCAGGGAAAGAAAAAGAGGCCAAGGGUUCAAGGGAGAAAAAUGGCCCGUAAUUACCUGAAAGACUCUAUGAAGAACAUACCUGAGAUACGUUUCGUGAGUGGGAAGGGAAGAUUAGGCAGGUGUGUGUGUGUGUGUGUGUGUGUGUGUGUGUGUGUGUGUGUGUGUGUGUGUGUGUGUGUGUGUCGGAGGAAUGGAGGCAUGAGAGGAGGUGGUUCUGCGAUUCAGGUGGAGGGAGGAAGAGGAGGAAGAGGAGGUGAGGGGAAGACACAGCUGCAGCAAGUGUGGGUGAGCGCGUCGGCAGGUGUGGAAUGAGUGGAGGAAUGUGAGUUAUGGCGGUGGUGAUGGUGGUGGUGGUGAUGGCGAGGGUAGUGGUGGUGGUGAUGGUGGUGGUGAUUUUGAUGAUAAUUGCUUGAUAGUGACUACAAUGAAUAGCAGACAAUAACAUAUCUUUACUUAGAUCCUUACUGGGCUGUUUGAUUUCAAUACAUUAUACUCCAUACACAAACUGUGAUAUUAGAAAAAAAUAAUAACUGCAUUUUGAAAGACCAAAGUAUUACGUACAGCUAAGUAAUGACGGUAGUGAUUUACUCUACCUUCUAUGCCCUUCUUCCCUUCCUUCCCGUCAUUCAGCACACUUUACCACUUAACUAAAUCCUAUAAAAGUGCCGAAUCUUCAAAUAUUCAACCAGUAACUCCAGAAAAUUCAUAAAUCUUUAAACACACCAAUAAAAAAACACACCCUUCAACUCAGCAACGCCCCGUUAGACUCUUCCUGGAACUUGCGUCCCCACACAGGAUACAAAGGGCCAGUCAUUAGUACCUCCGAUAAUUAGCGAGCAAAGAAACCGAUGCGCUGCGAAGAAGUUGAAAUUUUCUUUAGCGUGUUUUCAAUUAGGCCGGGCACGUGCCGGGAGGACUGGAGGGAAGGAGAGGCUGAGAAAUGACGCUCUUUAUCACGAAAGUCAAAUUAGUAAUCUAAAUGUGUCCUCUUACGUUUUCUUUCCUGGGUGGGUUUUUAGAAAAGGUAAUAUCAGCUUUCAGUGUGUCUUCUAAGUAUUCCUUAUACUUUUUUUUCUGGAUGGAGGUUUUUGUUAUUGUAAAAUUAGUGUGGUACUAUUUUUUUCAUUGUUAUUAUUGUUGUUGUUGGUGGUGGUGGUGGUGUGGCAAUGUAAAAUUAAUGAUCACUAAGAGUUGCAGAAUUUACUUUUUUCUAGAUUUGGUUGUGAUAGGUAUGAGAGUUGUGAAGCUGGCAACACUGCGGCUCACCUGCAAGUCACAUAAGUGGGACUGAUUGACUGAUGAAUUGAAUGAGUGAGCAGUUUAAUGACACUGAUAUGUGUGAAACCCCGACGUGUGGAGUCCCCUGAAAGAAUGAGGUGUUCUGACUAAUCUUGGUGCUGAAACCUCAUGGAAAAUAUUAAAUACCACUUUGUCGAAACAUCAGCUGUAAUGGGUAUCUAAAACACAUUUACAAAAGAAAGCGUACUGACUAAGAAGAAACAUUUGUGUUAUAUUUAUCUUUAAAACUUUAUGAUGAUAUUAUACUAGUUGUCCAAAAUACAGAUUUCACAAAGCUAGAGGCCUACCAAAAUUAACUAUUACCAUAUAAAGAAAAGCACUGGUAAAUAGUUACGAAAGAGAGCGGGAAUUCAGGAUAAAGCGUUGUUUCAUCAGCCAGUAUCCCGCGGACUAACCAAUCACACUGCACCGGGACCUGCCAAACGUAAUCGCGACACUAAUGGAUUCGGAACAAAAACAAAAACAAAAAAAGCAACAAAUGUACCAACACACUAAGAAAACAAAUAUUCGUGUUGCCUCUCUUCAAAAUCUGAGACAGUGUAGUAGUUAUUCAAAUAUAGAUCUCACAAAAAUAGAACCUUCACAAAACCUUUUAUUAUUACACAGAGUUACGUAGAGUGCGACCAUACAGGAUUAAGUGUUAUUGCAUUGUUUUACCAUCCAGUUUCGUCAUCCAGUUUUGUCACUCUUUAUCCCGCGGACUAGCCAAUCAAACUCCACCGAGACUCGCCACACAUAAUCGCCACAGUAAUGGGACGCCGUAUUAAAAGCUUACGUGAUUCCUGCCACGCGUGCCUUGCCUCGGCGGGGGCUGGCCUUCAGGUGAGUGCCCAGGUGUCUCUCGCUCUCAGGUGUGUCCUCAUUACCGCGGCAGGUGUUCGGAGCGAGGCGGGGAACGAGAUGGCUACAGCACUAGAGCGAGUGUGUGGAGGGAGAGGGUAAUGUGAGGCUUGGAGGGGUAGGGAUGGGGGGUGAGGUGAGUGACAUGACUUAAACGACGUGUUGCAGGUGGGAGAGGAAGCGCUAGGGAGGUGGUGCUGGUGGUGCUGGUGGUGGGUAGUGCGUGGUGGUGGUGGGGAGUCCCUUGCGUCACCGUCAUGAAGUGGUCAGUCAGUCAUGCACCACGUGGGACACAGAGCAAGGCAAAAGGUUCUUCCUGCACGCUCGCCCUUCCUUCCAUUCCAUAUGCAGCUGACAGCUCUCCAUCACUCCCAUCCGCCCCGUCAGGUUCGUCAGGUGUGUGUUGUCCGGUCUUUACUACUUUUCAUUUUGCACAAGCGGCGCCAUGUGAGCUUGUCGCGACACCAUCGGUCAAUCACUCAUUCAUUCAUUUACAAAAGUUGACCAAGGAGCAGAGAGAAAAAAACGAGAGAGAGAGAGAGAGAGAGAGAGAGAGAGAGAGAGAAAGAGAGAGAGAGAGAGGCAG